GAUGAAGAACGCAGCGAAAUGCGAUAAGUAAUGUGAAUUGCAGAAUUCAGUGAAUCAUCGAAUCUUUGAACGCACAUUGCGCCCGCCAGUAUUCUGGCGGGCAUGCCUGUUCGAGCGUCAUUACAACCCUCAGGCCCCCGGGCCUGGCGUUGGGGAUCGGCGGAGCCCCCCGUGGGCACACGCCGUCCCCCAAAUACAGUGGCGGUCCCGCCGCAGCUUCCAUCGCGUAGUAGCUAACACCUCGCGACUGGGGAGCGGCGCGGCCACGCCGUAAAACACCCAACUCUUCUGAAGUUGACCUCGAAUCAGGUAGGAAUACCCGCUGAACUUAAGCAUAUCAAUAAGCGGAGGA
rnacentral:misc_RNA from 1 species